CGAGAAUUAAAGUGGCAGUGACAUGAUAUAGAUUAAUAACUGGCUCAAAAGUAUCCAUUACAGCAAAGACUCCAUAAAUGUGGCAAUUUAGAAGUAAUAUUUUGGCAGAAACAAUAAGGAGUGCUCAGAAUUCUGUAGUGAUUUAUUGGUGCUUCAAAUUCCCCUUACAAGGAGAUUCCAUAUUAUCAAGAAAUGUCAUGUACUUAUAAACGAAAUCUAAAAAAAAAAAAAAACAAGAACAAUUAUUUAUUUCGUUACUAUUAUAAUAAUGACUCGGAGAAACUUUCAAGUGGAUGUUUUUUCUCUUAUCUUUGACAGGUACAUGUAUUUUCCAUGCCCACUUCGACAACAUAUAAAACAGUUAUUGCAGAGUGAACAUCAUAUAUAUGAUCAAUAAAAAUUGGUCAAAAAUAAUGUAGCGGUAAUGUCUAUUAUAUUGGCCUACUUCGAGUGUCAACUAUUUACUAUAGUGAGGCUGUUCCAUCUAAUGUGAUAACAUAUGUGUAUAAUCAACAACCAAUCACGGCUGUGCUUCCAAAUGGUGAUGCACGUACAUUUUUUGUAUGUUCGCUAGAAUCUGACCAAACAAAUCAACACAUGUACAUCAUAACUUCUUGUUUCUCUAAACAUACACAAUAAUGUUAUAAAAGUGAGUUUGUCUCUACCAUAGUUGGAUCAUAGCCACUACUAUUAAUAAAAGUUGGGCCAUUUUGGGUAUAAAGUGCAGGGGGGGGGGGGGUUGGCAGGACAAGGAAAUUCACUAAGCUUCCAAAUACAUGACAUGUAAUUGUAAUGUUUGUCAAUCACACUCGGGUUAAGAUCCCCUUGUGUUUCCUCCAAUGAGGUAAAAUAUUCUAUUAAUAUCAGCAUACAGUAGAAAGACACAAUGUCUAGGGAAUAAAAAACAACCUGUUUAAAAUUAUGAUAUAUCUCUAUUAGAUAACAAACAAAAAUAAAAUUUAUAUAAACAUGAUAUAUCUUCUUAAAUAAAUUUUAUUGACAACUUUUAAAUAAAACAUAACAAAAUGAUUCUCUUGAAACACAAAUUUGGCACAGACAGAUAGUUUGUAUAUCUGACCUUCACAAUCUCUGUUAUUGCCGUUACAAAAAAAUCGGUAUCUGUUUGACACAACCAUAUAUCGUCCAAAGUCACACAAAUUUAUGAAAUGCAGACUAAAUAUGGAAAAAUUGACAUCUGGAUUAUUGUUUAAUGUAGCCUGAAGCUAAAAGCUAAUAUAACAACAGAAUUUACUCCGAAUAGAUCGAUAUGGUUUAUGAAAUAAGGAUUGUGGUUUUAUCGG